rnacentral:rRNA from 1 species
AAUGGGUCAGCGACUUAUAUUCUGUAGCAAGGUUAACCGAAUAGGGGAGCCGAAGGGAAACCGAGUCUUAACUGGGCGUUAAGUUGCAGGGUAUAGACCCGAAACCCGGUGAUCUAGCCAUGGGCAGGUUGAAGGUUGGGUAACACUAACUGGAGGACCGAACCGACUAAUGUUGAAAAAUUAGCGGAUGACUUGUGGCUGGGGGUGAAAGGCCAAUCAAACCGGGAGAUAGCUGGUUCUCCCCGAAAGCUAUUUAGGUAGCGCCUCGUGAAUUCAUCUCCGGGGGUAGAGCACUGUUUCGGCAAGGGGGUCAUCCCGACUUACCAACCCGAUGCAAACUGCGAAUACCGGAGAAUGUUAUCACGGGAGACACACGGCGGGUGCUAACGUCCGUCGUGAAGAGGGAAACAACCCAGACCGCCAGCUAAGGUCCCAAAGUCAUGGUUAAGUGGGAAACGAUGUGGGAAGGCCCAGACAGCCAGGAUGUUGGCUUAGAAGCAGCCAUCAUUUAAAGAAAGCGUAAUAGCUCACUGGUCGAGUCGGCCUGCGCGGAAGAUGUAACGGGGCUAAACCAUGCACCGAAGCUGCGGCAGCGACGCUUAUGCGUUGUUGGGUAGGGGAGCGUUCUGUAAGCCUGUGAAGGUGUACUGUGAGGUAUGCUGGAGGUAUCAGAAGUGCGAAUGCUGACAUAAGUAACGAUAAAGCGGGUGAAAAGCCCGCUCGCCGGAAGACCAAGGGUUCCUGUCCAACGUUAAUCGGGGCAGGGUGAGUCGACCCCUAAGGCGAGGCCGAAAGGCGUAGUCGAUGGGAAACAGGUUAAUAUUCCUGUACUUGGUGUUACUGCGAAGGGGGGACGGAGAAGGCUAUGUUGGCCGGGCGACGGUUGUCCCGGUUUAAGCGUGUAGGCUGGUUUUCCAGGCAAA